rnacentral:lncRNA from 1 species
CACCUUGUUUCAAAUGCUUAGUCCAAAUAGAUAUGAAAAAAAUGAAAAAUCUAAAUAAAUAAAAAAAUCAUAGCCCUCGAUUGAAACCUAAACAUCACAAUUUGACGUAAAAAAUCAAACCCUAAAUGGUAAAACUACCUCUGACGGAGGGCUGGCGGGAUCCCCAUAUCUUCUUGUCCACCAUUGUCUAAGGAGAGGUGAUGGUUGCUUGAUGGCGAUAGAUCUACUGGUAAAACCUAUAAAAAGUUAAAGAUAAACUACUAAUUACAUAAAAAACUGAACUUAAAAAAAAAAUAAAAAUUAAAACCUUAUUUACCAAUCCAAUGAUACCUUUUACACUACGAAAGACAAAAAAUCGUUAGUGAGGUAAAUAGCCCUGUUCUUAGGAAAAUUACUCCACGAACGGGGUAUUUUACUUUGAGAACGUAAGAGGUUCGUUUGUUGAGUAAAAGUGGUCGUUCCUAAAGUAAAUUGACUAAGAAACUUUAUUUACUAAUCCAACAAUACCUUUUACACUACGAACGACAAAGAGUCGUUAGGGAGUUUUAUGAAUUCUAUGUGGUGCUUUUGUUGGAAAUUUUUGUCUAUUUCGUUUUAUUAUUGUAAAUAAUGAUUUAAAUAUUAUUGCAAUUCAUGUUAUCAGACUUUGGGGCGUUAUAGUAGUCGAAGGAAUGAUGUUCACAUUAUUUAUUUACACGAGGACAUUAUAUUAUAGAGAUGUUUAGUACUUUAAUUAUAGAUAAACACAAUGUUCUAUAAGGACAAGCAGACGAACAUUAUAUGGAUACAUACUAAUGAGCCAUGAACAGAAUGUCACUUAAUGAGCCAUGAUUACCCUUUGAAUAGUUUAUUGGAGCAUAAAAUUCCAGCAAGAUCGAAGUGAUAAUAGGCAGAGGUUUCCUGGCAAUGGCAUGGCGUGUACCUAGAAUUUGUCAUGCCAUUUCACACCUUUCAUUUCAUGGGGCCAUAUCUUUUUAAAAGACACAAAUAAAGCUGCCACUAGUUGGAUUGUUUUUGUUACUUUCUCCCUUUUUUAUCUUAAAGAAAGAAAAAAAAAAAAACACAUAAUGAUUUCAUUUGCUUGACUCAAAAUAAUUGCUUUUUAAGUCAAUGGAUGCGCUUGUGCACCCAAUUCAGGAAGGAAGUAGCAACCCCAAAACCUUAUAAUUUAUUUCCAUUCGUACAGUUUGUUUCUUCACCACACCUCAUCCAUGGCACUUGUGAGAGCAACUCAACAAACCUCCUCUUCUAAUACUCCUCGAUGUUGCCGUUAUCACGUGUUCCUCAGUUUCAGAGGUGAAGACACUCGCAAGACUUUCACUGACCACCUCUUCACAGCCUUGGUCAAUGCCGGAUUUCGCACUUGCCGAGACAAUGAUGAGCUGGAGAGAGGAGAAGAUCUUAAGCCCGAACUCCAGAAAGCAAUCAAACACUCAAGAACUUCUGUUAUUGUGUUUUCGAAAGACUACGCAUUGUCCAGAUGGUGCCUUGACGAGCUUAUGAAGAUCCUUGAACGCAAGAGGACCUCACCUGACUAUGUGGUUUUACCACAAAAAUCAUUAUAAAAAAAAACAUAAUAACCAAAGCAUCACAAAACAACCAAAAAACUAAAACUGAGCAGAUGCAAAAAAUGCAUCAUCCAGAAGCAAUAACCAAAUCCGAAAAUAUAAACACUUCAACUGAUAGUUAAACCAAAUUAAUCAUCAGCUAGCUCAAGACUAAAAAUCCUCACCUUGUUUCAAAUGCUUAGUCCAAAUAGAUAUGAAAAAAAUGAAAAAUCUAAAUAAAUAAAAAAAUCAUAGCCCUCGAUUGAAACCUAAACAUCACAAUUUGACGUAAAAAAUCAAACCCUAAAUGGUAAAACUACCUCUGACGGAGGGCUGGCGGGAUCCCCAUAUCUUCUUGUCCACCAUUGUCUAAGGAGAGGUGAUGGUUGCUUGGUGGCGAUAGAUCUAGUGGUAAAACCUAUAAAAAGUUAAAGAUAAACUACUAAUUACAUAAAAAACUGAACUUAAAAAAAAAAUUAAAAAUUAAAACCUUAUUUACCAAUCCAAUGAUACCUUUUACACUAUGAAAGACAAAAAAUCGUUCGUGAGGUAAAAUAACCCUGUUCUUCGGAAAAUGAAAGGACCCGCUCUGAAUUUUUCAAAACCCGAGGCGAACCUUUUGGAAUUCCCGACAUCAUCCCGAUGCCAGUCCCACUUACUAAAGACCGAGACUUCCUGCCGAAAUUUCGGCAGAGUCUCCUCUAUAAAUUGGACAUUUCCCAAAAUUUCAACCUGCAUAAAAACGCAUUUAAUAUCCACAACUGGCAGUAUGCACAAUAUAAUUUCAUGCAAUUCACACAAACGGCCUUCGGCCUUCCAAUAAUUCUCAUCUAACUACCAAACACGCUAACAAAACAAUUCAUGUCUUAAACAAGGCAACAAUUCAAAUAUAAAUUAUGACUAACAUUUAGUCUGCGGCUGCACCUAAUAACCUUAGGCUGCCUACGUACCCUCCUUGAGGGAUCAAGCCACACGUAGUUCUUCCAUAAAAUCCAAUUCCACACUUAGGCAAUACCUUAUUUCAUUUCUCUGUAUUUCACAUAAUCUCUCCAUACGCCGGUACAACCAACGCCACGUAUGGGGCCUGUCAACACGCCGGAUAACCUACGCCACGUGCGACCAUGCCAUACUAUCAUAAUAUCUCCCCAUACGCCGGUACAACCAACGCCACGUAUGGGGUCUGUCUCAACGCCAGAUAACCUACGCCACGCGAGACCUGCACAUCAUAUCACAUAUCUCCCCAUACGCCGGUACAACCAACGCCACGUAUGGGGUCUGUCGACACGCCGGAUAACCUAAGCCACGUGCUACCUCAACACAAUAUCACAUAAUCUCCCCAUACGCCGGUACAACCAACGCCACGUAUGGGGCCUGUCUCAACGCCGGAUAACCUACGCUACGUGAGACCUGA